rnacentral:tRNA from 1 species
AAGAUUUUAAGUUAAAAAAAACUUUUAACCUUCAAAGUUAUAAAUAAAUAAAAUUAUUAUUUAAAUCUUA